CAUAACCUUACUCAAUUAAACUUGAAAAUACAAGGUGUAGGCUCCUCCUUUUAUAGGCUAAGGAGGACCAUAAUGCAACCCUAAUGCUAGCCAAAUGAAAUGUAAAUGUGAAGCACAUUGGUGCACAUGGCACAUGGGUGCACAAAUGAGCACAUGGGGAGGGGUGUGUCUAGUUUUUAUGCUCACCCCCUCCAUGGGCUUUCUAGACCGGCCUUGGUAAAUUUAGAGGUUUUUUUAGAAACUCUAAGUUUACCUAGGUUGGUGUUUUAGGUGCCAAAAUUAAUUCUAAGAAAAUUACAAAUAAAGUUCCUAUGCUAAUUUUGACAAGAAAUUAAAGUCUACUCUACACUAGAGUUUAUGGCAUUUGAACAUGUAAAAGAACGUCUUCUUGGAUCCUCUUGGCCAUAACUCUAUGGUUGGCCCAAAUCUACCCUUUGGUGGGCUUGCAUGUGGGCUUGUGCUUGGGCCUCUUCCAUCAUCCCCUCCCUCUUGAAAAGGAUUUGUCCUCAAAUCCAAUACUUUUGCUUCCUAGGGGAUGGUUGUGGCUGGAUGGUGUCCAUCAUCUCCUCCUUCUUUGAGAAGAUCUAUCCUCAGAUCUUCAGGCUUGAUCUCGGAUAGCAGCCUCUUGCUUCGCCAGAGCUUGUCCUCCUGGAUCAAACGUCCACCUAUAGAAAUAAUCAAAUAAGGCAUAGGUGUUAGUUUGCAAAUUAAUUUUACUAGGUUGCCAUUUUUGUUUGUCUUUUGGUUUUGGCAACUUUGGACAAAGUUUAUCUUUUAAUGGUUGUGUGUGGUCUCUAAUCAUCUUAUGUAUUUUAAAAUGUUUAUUUGUGGUUACCUUCUCUUUAGGCAUAAAUCCUAUAGGAGAUGGUAACAACUUAAAAGGAGAAAGAUGAUUUAGCACACACAUAACUUUAAAAGUAGAAAUAUAAGUAGUUUUGU
rnacentral:lncRNA from 1 species